rnacentral:rRNA from 1 species
AUUGAACGCUGGCGGCAUGCUUUACACAUGCAAGUCGAACGGCAGCGCGGGCUUCGGCCUGGCGGCGAGUGGCGAACGGGUGAGUAAUGCAUCGGAACGUGCCCAGUAGUGGGGGAUAGCCCGGCGAAAGCCGGAUUAAUACCGCAUACGACCUGAGGGUGAAAGCGGGGGACCGACAGGCCUCGCGCUAUUGGAGCGGCCGAUGUCGGAUUAGCUAGUUGGUGGGGUAAAGGCUUACCAAGGCGACGAUCCGUAGCUGGUCUGAGAGGACGACCAGCCACACUGGGACUGAGACACGGCCCAGACUCCUACGGGAGGCAGCAGUGGGGAAUUUUGGACAAUGGGGGCAAGCCUGAUCCAGCCAUGCCGCGUGCGGGAAGAAGGCCUUCGGGUUGUAAAGCGCUUUUGUUCGGGAAGAAAUCCUCUGGGCUAAUACCCCGGGGGGAUGACGGUACCGGAAGAAUAAGCACCGGCUAACUACGUG